rnacentral:rRNA from 1 species
CGGCGGACGGGUGAGUAACACGUGGAUAACCUACCUAUAAGACUGGGAUAACUUCGGGAAACCGGAGCUAAUACCGGAUAAUAUAUUGAACCGCAUGGUUCAAUAGUGAAAGACGGUUUUGCGGUCACUUAUAGAUGGAUCCGCGCCGCAUUAGCUAGUUGGUAAGGUAACGGCUUACCAAGGCAACGAUGCGUAGCCGACCUGAGAGGGUGAUCGGCCACACUGGAACUGAGACACGGUCCAG